AAGAGCUGCUUUCAGUUGUUAAUUGCGUCAGAAAGGCUGUCAACAAACAAACCAGAUGAUCAAUCAGGAGAUACGGAGGUCUAAAAAAAACCAACAUUAGGCUACGCUAACCGCAAGACGGCUUCCUGUCGAGAACGCUUUCAGAUAGCUAAAAGAUACGUCUUCAUCGAAUAUGUCGGAAAAAAAGCAAUUAAGACAAAAGAGCAACGAAGGGAUGAUUCAAAGACUUUGUCAGGAUCAAAACUAAUGAGAAGCGAGAGGAUGAACUUGGCACCGUUUCCGAGGUGAGCGCGGGCCCCGGGCAAAGGAAUUAUUUGUUGUUUAACAAGCUAGCAACUGGCGGAGUGUUAGCGUCGCGCUAAAGCGACCCAUUGUGAGCUGUCACUCUGAUGUUUACAAAGCGCCCGUCCCUACGCACACACAUGCACAAACAGCCCCCUUGCACUCCCCCUUUCCAUCUCUUUGCCUGGAAUUCAUCUUCUUUUGAUCUGGCAUUCAAAGGUAGCGGGGGUUUGAUAGACGUGCUAGGCUAAAAGCAGCUCCAGACACAAGCACGAUAAACUGCCAAACGAUGACAGGCCAGGCAUCUGAAGGCGCGUUUAAAGCGAGGAGAACAACAUGCUGUCUGGGCGCUACAAUAGAGAAUCAAGAGACGUAUUAGGUGGAACUGAUCCGAUACAAGAACGGUUCAAAGACGGAUAAUGCUAACAGAUGACUGAGCUGCUGAAGGAGCACAAACGUGCCUUGCUAUGGGCAACGCUUGAUGCUAAUCAGCCAAAAUACAUAUUGAUGAUAGCGGAUAGGAUGGGGGAAAACGAAAGAAAACACGUUCAUUAAAAUCAUUUAAUGCAAAAGAAAAGGUCAGCGGUGGCUGUCUAGUCCUUUUAAUUCUAAAGCAGUAACGCUGCUUGAAAGUGACUCAUGCGACUCAUUGAGCACCGGACAUCUGAUGUCUUGAGAGUCCUUCAUUAAAAUUCCUCGUUAGGAUUACUUGAUGCCAUGGCUCCACCAACGCACACACAAACACACGCGAUAACCCCUCCAGGUGUUUGUGAUCAGAAAACAACCCUUGAGGACCCAAAAAGGCCCUUUGCGAAAUCGCUGACAAUGACAACACUAAUUUUUCCUGGUUGUUGUCCCCUACACUCAAAGCUUCGCUCUGCAGGUUCAUCUGUUUACGGGAUGCAAUCGAGUGUAGCAUAUAGUAUCUAAGCCAGCACUUGUGUUGAAGGGUCACAUUCCAGUGAUACCGAUUGAGGAUGUCUGCGUCUUUAUUUGCCACUUGCACAUGUGGAUUAUGUACAGGCUUUGGGGGUUCCCGCUGUGUAAGCCUGGCUUCACUUGCCACACAAAGCCCAAUUUGUGGAUUCCCUUUACCCUGAAAGAAAUGGAAAGGGAUAGAGGAAGAUCUUGUAUUGUGUCAGUGACAGUGUAAAUAGGAGAGGCUGGUACUAGUUGGGGAAGUUGUCACAAGGGCUACAUUGCAAAAAACUCAUUUUCAGCUGAAAUAUCAAUGAAUGUGCUUAAAAUGUAAUACAAUUUUAUUCAAUAAACAACUAUUGAAAAAAAAAGUGUUAAUAUCUUGAAAAAAAGUCUUGUUUUAGAAAUGCUAACUGCACAGUCCAAAAAAAGGAAAAAAAAAUACCUUUGCUAGCUUUGAACAUCUGUCAAAUUGGUUUUACAAUAAAACUAAAACUAAAAAACAGUUACUAAAAAGUAACCGUUUGUCAUAUCUGUUUGUUAAAUCAAAUAAUAAUACAAACAAAUCCAAAAAUAAAUACAUUAAUAUAUAUAUAUUUUUUCACAUUUAUGGUGUUAAAAAAAAUUGCUUUAGGUUUUAUAAUUGUUUUAGUGUAGCUGAAACAGCCUUUUUAAUGGCAGGUUCCAUUGUUACAGCUUGCAUCAUACAGUGGCAACAUGAUCUGCUAAAUAGAAAUGUUGGCAGAAGACAUCAAUGUGUUUAAUAAAAAUAUAGCUUCUUUCCAAUCCAGGUUUGUAUAAAAUCAGCACCACAAAUGCAAAAAAUACCUGCAUAUUACAUCUUGGCCUGGCAAUACCAGAAGAAAGGGCAAAUUUAAAAGCACAGUGUACUGUAUGAGUGAGACAGAAUCUAACUUUCUUUCAUUGCCUUACUUUAGAGCUGUUAGAAGUGCUUGUCAGCCCCAGAGAUGAGCAAAAUAACGAAUACCACAAAAGAAAAAUGACCUGUUUAAUGCUGGUGAGCAGGGGAAAAAUUUAGUGUAGUCCAGUGAAAUGAAAAAUUUGAUGAGACAGUAAAUGCAGGACAGAUGUAAAGACAAUAGCUUGUGUUAACCUCUGAGGGUCUGGUUUUGUGUGUAUCUGAAGGGAGGCCUGACUAUGAGAAAUGAGACGGUGCUUAUUUGCGUAGGGUCUUCUAAAGCUCCCUAUCUGUCUUCCCAUUCACCACUGUGCCCUUCCCGUGGCAGGGAAGACCUUGAAUGUGAAAUGGCUCAGAUUAAUCUAGCCUUUAAUUGGCGGGAGAUGUGCGUACAGGUGAAACUGUCUCCCAGCGGCCAUUGUGAAGUAGAAAGGGUUGUUUACACAGUGUUAAGAGGUCUGGAGAUCGGGCUCCUCAGACAUGACCCACAGAAAAGACUGCUAAUAGGUUAGUGCAUAGCACUGUCGUGGACUAAACACAUCUUCUUGUUCUCCACAGAGCUGGAGGGCUUUUUCUUAAAUGUCACAGUUAUUAGAUCGACUUUUUUGGCAGGAUGGUCCUAAGGGCUUCCUGGGAAGGUUUAAAAGUUGUCAAGGUUUUAUGAGAAAGUUUAAGAGAAAAUAUAUCUGGCUACACCACUCCUGCUUUCCCAAUUGCUUAUUUUUAUUCAGUCUCAAUCCAUCUCUGUCUCCUUCUAGAUCAAAACUACAAAGUAGACUGUGAGAGUGAUCUUUAAAGAAACAGAACACCCAAAAUAUACAUUUUAUUUGUUCACUCAUAUUUACAGGAUGUCAUCCAAAUGUCAAAUGUUUGUGAAAGACUCUUUUACUCACCAGGGCUGCAUUUAUUUAAUCUAAAAUAUAGUAUCAACAGUAAUAUUGUGAAAAUAUUAUUAUUACAUAAGAUAAGAUUAUUCCAUGAUUCUUUUAUGAAUGGAACGUUCAAGAGUAUGGCAUUUAUUUGAAAACAAAAUCUUUUGUCUUUACUGUAACUUUUACAACAAUUUAAUGAAUCCUUACUCAAUAUUAUUUUAAUUAUAAUUAAAAGUAUUAUUUUCUUCAAAUGGUGACUGAUUUUUGUAUAGUGUUGUAAAUGCAAUGCAAUGAUUGGCCUUAGACUAACAUAAUAUAGAAAGUAAAGAACUAGAAAAUAGAAUAAAAUAAAACAAUGUAAUUUGUAAUAAAAUGCAAUUGACAAAAUAAAAUGUGCAUCUUUUAAUGACAUAUUGUGGUUAACAAUGUGGGUGAACUAUUCCAUAAAUUUUCUAACUGAAAUACACUAAAAAGGAUAACAGUGUUAUUCUCCAUUCACUGUCAGUGUCACCUAAUUAAAAUUCAGGAAUGCUCCUUCACUGGCAUGAGAAUGUAUGAACUGAAGAUCAGGACUGUUUGUAUUCAUUGAGAUUCUCUUUCUCUGGCUAAUUCUGCCUCCUUUAGUUCGUUUUCUAGAUUGGACAUUUAUCUGCAAUGCAAAAGAGGGCCGGUCAGCUUCCUGUUAAGUAUCUAAUUGAUGCAAUUUCCAAAAAGCCUCUUCACAUGGAAAACAGGCGCUCGUACAAUCAUGGCCUCUUGGAAACACACUCGCUGUUUAGAUUUCUAAACUAAUUCAUGUAGAAUACAUAAAUAAAUCAAUGUUAUAUACCCACUUCAAACCAUUACUACUCCCUCCCAUGGCUGCACUUUUCUACCAAUCUAUUAAUAUUAAUGACAACACUAAACAUUUCAAAUUGCUGUGCUCAAACCAUGUAAGACUCGGUGAAUGAUUGCAGUAGACAAGCAUUGUCUUUAACUUUAAUCAAAAAGCUGGUGCAACCAGUUUUCCUCAUUGACUGGUAAUGUUUGCAGUUGACAAACGUUUCGUCUGGAAAGUACAAUGAAAAACGAGUGAGAGGGUGCAUGAAGGUAUGAAGGGUGAGUGUUUGCAUGUGUGUGUUUGUGCGUUUGUUUCCAUGUGGAUGGCGGGGGGUGGGGGUGCAUGACUGUUGAUGGAUGGAUGAGAGCAACGGAGAGAAAAAAAGAGAGAGAGAUGAUGAAGGAGGUAUAGGGAGAGUAAAUAGGGCGCUGUGUGCCUGGUACGGAUGUGUGACCCCGGGUCUGGGGUCGUCUCGGCUACACAGCUCUGACAGCCUCAGUUUGCAGUUUGUUUGGAUUUCGAAGCUUAACAACAGAUGGCAAGAGAGGGGCUCCAUUCAUAAAGCCGGACAUACGGAGACAUACACAAACACACACAAGGUGAUGUAUGCUGAGAUCUGUGCGUGAACGCCAGCUUGUUUUCUCUCUGGCUUAAACGAAGACACAUAUACAAAAGCAGGGAUGUCCGAAAUGACAUUUUCAAAACAGACUAGUCGAUUUUACAAUCUUUUACUAUUAAAAUUACUAAUGAUUUUAAGAUAAAAUAAAUAAAUAAAACUAUUAUCAGCCAAUAACUGAUUUGGCACCAUGACAUGGUACAUCUCCAAACUGUAAGCUAAAAAAAACUGCAUAAUUUACUCAUUGGCCUCACUAACCAAUUAGAUACUGAGUGACUAUUUGACCAUACCGAUCCAUCGCUAACCCAUACACACACAAGCUGCCUAUCAUUUAACUUCAAUUCUAUUUGUCAUUUAAUACACACCUCAAUUCAGCACUCGAUGCCAGAAUCUGUCCAUCAAGACAGUUACUGAAUUACGAUUGUGUUUAUUGCCCCUUUAGUCUGAUGUAAACGCAUAAACAUCCUUCUAGCAUACAAGAAAAGCCAUCUGCAAAAUAUUGUCUUCCCGUCUCAGAGCUCUUCCACGUCAAUUAUGCCUUUAGACUUCACAGGCUCGUGGUGAUGGAGUGGCUAUAAAACCCACUCACAUUAAUACUCCAUUGUGCAUCUGCUGCUAACGGUAAUUAAAGAACUAAAUGACUCAUAAGAAUAGACGAAUUAACCACAAGUAGAAAAAAAAAAUGAGAAAGAAAUGAGAGGCGUGGGGAACCUGCCACAUAGAAAUAUGUGCCGUUAAGAGUGCAGUACGGUACUAGAGUAAUCAGCGUUACUGGCUGAAAGCAAGAAAUGAUGAUGCCAACGCCUUAGUGAGGAGGUGUCUGUGUGGACUGAGACUUAAAGAGAGGGCAGGAAAUGAUGGGCAGAACAGAAAAAUGAUAUAAGCCAGAUUCAAACGUGCAGCGCCUGCACAAGCACCGCAGCUCAAUGGCUUAUUUCAUUCGGAAUGAAUGAAAAUGAGACUAAACAUCAAAAUUACAUCUUUAGAAAAUUUCCAGAGGAAAGAAAACUUCCAGAAAUCAUGGGAGAUGGAACAACAGAUUGAAUAGAGUCUGGUCUUUUCAUUAACAUUUCCAGUCGCAGACUACAUAUUCUAAAACAAUCUUAUUCAUUCAAAAAAUGAAUCCCAAAGAUCUAGUUAAAUAAUUAAGGGGAGAAUGAAAUGAAAACUCUAGAAAGAAAUUCUAGUCUU